rnacentral:rRNA from 1 species
AUUGAACGCUGGCGGCAGGCCUAACACAUGCAAGUCGAGCGAGCGGCGGACGGGUGAGUAAUGUAUGGGGACUGCCCGAUAGAGGGGGAUAACUACUGGAAACGGUAGCUAAUACCCCAUACUAUCGGAUAACCCAUAUGGGGUUAGCUAGUAGGUGAGGGAAUGGCUCACCUAGGCGACGAUCCCUAGCUGGUCUGAGAGGAUGAUCAGCCACACUGGGACUGAGACACGGCCCAGACUCCUACGGAGGCAGCAGUGGGGAAUAUUGCACAAUGGGAGCAACCCUGAGGCAGCCAUGCCGCGUGUAUGAAGAAGGCCCUAGGGUUGUAAAGUACUUUCAGUCGGGAGGCGUUACCGACAGAAGAAGCACCGGCUAACUCCGUGCCAGCAGCCGCGGUAAUUC